rnacentral:rRNA from 1 species
UGGGCAACCUGCCCCUCUCUCUGGGAUAACCCCCAGGAAACCGGAGCUAAUACCGGAUACUCCGGCUGGAUCGCAUGGUCCGGCCGGGAAAGGUCCGCCGGAGAGGGAUGGGCCCGCGGCCUAUCAGCUUGUUGGUGGGGUCAUGGCUCACCAAGGCGACGACGGGUAGCUGGUCUGAGAGGGCGACCGGCCACACUGGGACUGAGACACGGCCCAGACCUCCGUACGGGAGCA